CAGGGGUGAACUUGGAUGCUUUCAGCAUCCUGGAUGUGGGUGUCUCUGUGGCUGUUUAACAGUUUACAUAUCUAUGCUUAGAAAUAUUUCUCUGUUUGUAAAAAUGAUACAUGUUUACUGUACAAUAAUCAAACCCCCAAACCAAACAAAACUUGCAAGUUUUGUGAAUAAGGACCCAAAUAAUCCUGCUAUAGAGAGUGAGAAAACGCUUUGGUGUUUUCUACCUGUUCCCCUAUGAUAGAGAUAGCUGUGUAACUGUAUCUGGCCACCCGGGGUCCAAUCUUCACUGACAGUCUUACAUCUUGUCACUGUGUCUUUGAUCUAAUGCACUUUGUUGUUUGCUUUUAAUGGUUGAAGAGUGCCAUUUGACCAGUGUUGUUAAAUAAUGGGAAAGCACUGUGCUGGGUGUUGGACACACUGGGUGCAUGUGAAUCUGUGUGGGUGAGCUUAUGUUUUCCAGCUUGUUCCCCAAAGAGACCACAGAUAUUGUCCUUGCUUUCUCAAACUUGCCAAUGUAGAGGAAGGAAUAAUACGUGUACAUAAUCAACUUCAGAAUGGUGGCAGUGUGUGAGGAGUCACAAUGAGGAGCC
rnacentral:lncRNA from 1 species